rnacentral:rRNA from 1 species
CCUACGGGAGGCAGCAGUGGGGAAUAUUGGACAAUGGGCGAAAGCCUGAUCCAGCCAUGCCGCGUGUGUGAAGAAGGCCUUCGGGUUGUAAAGCACUUUCAGUGGGGAAGAAAGCCUUGGGGCUAAUACCCUCGAGGAAGGACAUCACCCACAGAAGAAGUACCGGCUAACUCCGUGCCAGCAGCCGCGGUAAUACGGAGGGUGCGAGCGUUCCUCGGAAUUACUGGGCGUAAAGCGCGCGUAGGCGGUCUGAUAAGCCGGUUGUGAAAGCCCCGGGCUCAACCUGGGAACGGCAUCCGGAACUGUCAGGCUAGAGUGCAGGAGAGGAAGGUAGAAUUCCCGGUGUAGCGGUGAAAUGCGUAGAGAUCGGGAGGAAUACCAGUGGCGAAGGCGGCCUUCUGGACUGACACUGACGCUGAGGUGCGAAAGCGUGGGUAGACAACAGGAUUAGAUACCCCUGUAGUC